GUCUAUUAGCGAAUAUCCAUCUAUCAUAUCGAACACACACAACUAAGAUAGAUUAAUCACCAAGAUAUCAAAUUUGAUUUUAAAAUUUUGAUGAAUAUAUGUAUUAAGACUUCAUAUAAUAAAUUAUCGUCAAAAUAAUAAAAAGUGGAGUAAAAUCGAUAAUUAAUAUGAAUUUAAUUGAAGAUGAAUGUGAAGUUCAAUCCCGUUUAAAGCACUUUGAAAAUUUUAAUCUCUCCAAAAUAAUGAUUUUCAAUCAUCUUCUUUCUCAAAGAAAUUUUUAAAUCCCAAAAACAUUUUUACACAAAACGAUUUUUAAACAAAUAAAAUUCAAGCACCAAAAAUCGUCCAAACAUGUAAUGCAAUGAAUAAAAAUAUGCACUAAGCACUAAUC
rnacentral:lncRNA from 1 species